AUUUCAACCAGAAGAGAGUACAGUUUUGGGUCCUGGGAUGUGGUUCUGUUCUGACAGGGUCCACUAUGAUGAUCACAGUGAAUAUGUGGGUAGAGGUCUGCUGUGACUGGCAGCGCAAGAAACUCAAAUGUUGUUUUGCAGAAUGAGCCUAACUCUCAACUGCUCUCCACUUUAACUUAGCACACCACCAAGCCAGCAAUUAAGACAUCCAAGAAUUUCAUGUUGAGGAAAGGGAAAAGACCCAAACAUUGCCAUGAGGACUCCAUAUGGAAGAAAAUGCAAGCAAAUCCAGCAUGGAAAAAUGAGGUAGAAGAAAUCAUAUAUUCCUUCACUGUAAAGAGAAAGUGAGUUUUAAAGAGGAAACAAUGGCUUCAAACAGCGUAUUUGAUUCACUUCCUUCUUACCAGCACUUCUUGAGAGGACAUCAGCUGGAACAACAGGAGAGCAGCCCACUGAAGCAUCCCAACCUGGUUUCUAACAGCAAAACUGUGCUCUUAAAUCUUCAUCUGCUUCCACUCUAAUUGGGCAGAGAAAAAUCAUCUGAGAAGCUAAAUGAAAAUUACUAGUCUAUAAAUGCCCGAGGCAAAGAAAAAGAGAGAGAGAGAGAAAAGGAUGGGAGGUCUCAUGUGAGUUUGGUUAGUGGGGAAAAAAAAAAAAAAGUACACAUUCUAAGUAUGGCUGCAUGUCAUUUUUCAAUUUGCUCAUGUUAAAUAAUGAUCUCUAGGGCAGAGAAGGAGUGGAGUGAAAAGGAAGAG
rnacentral:lncRNA from 1 species